UUAAUUCAUGGUCAUAAUGCAAGAUGUUAUGAGAUGUUUAGAAUGGAAAAACAUGGGCCCUGAUCUGUUUUCAUAGUGACAAAAAACCCAAAACUACAAAUUGGGACUGCCUGGAAGUGUUUUUCAAAAACAGUUUUUGGAGAAUUGAAAACUGAUAGCAUCACUUUUUAGAGAACAUUAAAAAGUUGUUUUGGGAGUUCUGAAAACUGAUAGUUGCCUUACUUGAAAACACAGAGAACAGGUUUUACUUAUAAAAAAAAAACGCAGUGUUACCCAAUCGUUUAUAAUGCCGCACAGUCUUCUAUCUCUACAAGCUCUCUAUCUCUGCGAACUCGUUUCGUCUCUCUGCACUUCACACCUCUCUUCAGGCUUCUCUCACAAAUUUCUUCCAGAUCUCUCUAUUGAGGUCUUUUUACUUCUUGAAUAUCCAGGUUUGAAAGCUAUAAAUCAAGCAUGUGCUUGCUGAUGUUCUAAAGAGGAUUUUCUUUGGCAGAUAAAUCAAAAUGUCACCAACAGUCGUCGAAUAUUUUCUCUUUAAUUUUUCUUGUAAAAUCAUUGUAACAUCUUCAUUAAAAUUAAUAAUAAGGAAUGAGCUUUAUCUUUCAUUUUA